rnacentral:rRNA from 1 species
AGAGUGAACGCUGGCGGCAGGCCUCAAACAUGCAAGUCUAGGGGGCGUAGCAAUACGUCACCGGCGGACGGGUGCGUAACACGUGGGAAUGUACUUACUGGUUCGGAACAACUCAGGGAAACUUGAGCUAAUACCGAAUGUGCCCGAAAGGGGAAAGAUUUAUCGCCAGUAAAUCAGCCCGCGUCCGAUUAGCUAGUUGGCGGGGUAAAGGCCCACCAAGGCGACGAUCGGUAGCUGUUCUGAGAGGAAGAUCAGCCACACUGGGACUGAGACACGGCCCAGACUCCUACGGGAGGCAGCAGUUGGGAAUCUUGGACAAUGGGGGAAACCCUGAUCCAGCCAUGCCGCGUGAGUGAUGAAGGCCUUGGGUUGUAAAACUCUUUCGACGGGGACGAUAAUGACGGUACCCGUAGAAGAAGCUCCGGCUAACUUCGCGCCAGCAGCCGC